GACCAGCAUCCUCCUAAACUCACGCGCCUCUGCUCCGACGGAAUUCCUGCUCCGACCCGAUGCGACGAGGCGAUGCCUCUCCUGGCAUCGUCCUCGGGCCACUCGCCGUACGCCCACCAUGGCGCCGGUGGUGACUCGGCCCCCGCCCGCCCUUGCCGCCUACCACCACCAACCUCACAGUUCUCUCUCUCCGCCCUAGAGCGAUUUGGACUGGAACCCGCCCCUCCUUUCCGUCUCCAAUCUCAGCAUGCCAUGUCACCGGCAACAGCAGCUCCUGUAGGACGGAUCCAGGCGGGCUGACCCGUGGUACCCUUCUUCUACUGGAUCCCCUCCUCUAGUAGCAUGCCCUCCACGAGCACGACCUUACCUCCCCAAGUAGGAAGGCGAGCACGAGAUCCCCUCCCCGAGAAAGACCACGCCUUGACCUCCACAAGCCACUUCUCCGAUGUACUUCAAAACUGCCAAUGGACGAACAUCAAUUUCUUCAUAUUUCUUCCAUUCAGUUUUUGUUUGCUGGGGAAUUAGUAAAUUGAAUGUACAAAUAGCAUUGUUGUAGGUACGUGGCGUGGAGCAGCACCUUCAACUUCUCAUCUGAUCUCACCCUACUCUUUGACUGCAUGAAGAAACAUACUUUAGAAGUUAGUUUCCAUCAUUUUGAUGAUUCAGAGUUGAUUUGAGAUAUAGCGAUUGAAGAACAACAUAUCCAAAUUGUAAAGUUUGAAGAUGGCAUGUAUGCAGUUCAAUGCUCUGUACACAACGACGUGGCACAAAAUCAGGACUGCAAGCAUCCCAAUGCGAUAAACAACUCGGUGCCGAAAGUGGGAGAUGGCUCGCAGAAGAAAAUUGUUGGUUGUGCUGAACGAAUAGCAGACAGCGUCAUGGUGUGCUGUGGUGCUAGAACCCUAGGACAACACUGGAAUGGUUUGCUUCACAUUUCAACCAGCAGUACUGCUGCCGUGGCAGUACGUGAACCUGGGAGUGAGCCGACAUUCUACUCCAAGUGGUUCAAGGCGGUGACCCCGCUGUCUACAGUUAUAUCUACGACAACCUAGGAGCAUAUUCACCCACGACCAGUCACCCGACGAAAUCAUCACCUUCUGCUCCAACAAGUAGUAGUCUUAUAUUCUUAUCCUCUCUAAAAUUCCUUCAUGUUUGUGUAUCUUGUGGUCAGAGAAUUCAAUUCUUAACACAAUCAUAUGCGUGUAUGGUCCAUCAGUGAGUCUGUCCAGAUUCUAGAUCCCAAAUAAAAAAGAAUAAUUUUUUGAAUCAAAAUAAAACUGCAGCAAUCAUAUACACUAUCAAUGUUCUUCCCUAUGCUGUCAAUUCUGAAUGGCUUCCUGUUGAAAAUUGCUUAUGUGAUUAUUCAGAUUGAUUCAUUGUUGUGUUUAGUUAACUAAUGUAAUUAUUCAGUAUGUACAAGUGGCCACCAUAUCAUGUUUGGCUGGGUUACAGUCACAAGUAUUUCAAGGGUAAUCAAGUUGAUAAGCACAAGCUUAAAUUCAACCAAAAACUUUAUGGUGUGAUCUCAAAUCUGUGUGCACACUCACAUCCUAGCACACGAUUUUCUGAAACCACAUUACACAAUCUGAUCUACAGAACUACGCAACCACUGGAAUUUUUAAUUGAGAGACAACUAAUUUCUCAUUGUUUGAUUCAUCAUGUUUACAUGGCCUAUCCUAGAGAGACUAACAUUGUUCUUUGGUUUGGUUGAUUCACUUCAGGUAAAUUUUCUGGUAGCUUCAUUAUGUACAUUAGCAUGAAAAGGUGUUUUUUGUUUAGACGAAUUAACUGUUGAAUACUCCAUUGAAGAGGUAGGCCAGUCACAUGAUUGGGAAGAAUAAGGUGUAUGCUAUGUUAACUGUUGAAUACUCCAUUGAAGAGGUAGGCCAGUCACAUGAUUGGGAAGAAUAAGCGGCAGAAGUGAGAUAGCAAUUGCUGCUUUAUGCUCUCAAGCGGCUGAUUUUGUACCGCGGACUCUAAAGCUGCAUAUAUUGAGUCCCUCUGUACCAGCUGGGAGGAGAGCAAGCGGCGUCGUGGUGGCCUCGACGGUGACUAACAGGAGGAGCACGGCGAGCUGAGCCGGAGGAGGACGAGCCGUCCACGUGCAGGAGGCUCCCCGGCGGAUCUGGGAGACGGCGGGAGGCAUCUCCGACGGCGUGGGCCGGGCCUCCUUGCUUCCUCAGAUCCGCGUUUCUAUCGUGCAUCCAGUUUGUCGCUUCCCUUGACGUUGAUGGCUCUAUGAUUAGCCGUGUUCUCUUCCUGCUGUGUGGCUACACCGCCUCAUCCUCCAAGUACUAAGCCACGAUGAGAUUUAUUUGGCUCAUCCUCGCGCCUCAAGUUUCCGACAGCACCGUGGCUGUACACCGUCGACUUCGCCGGAAAUCCGUCUACACAUACUCUACUGUCCGCCAAAACUUUGUCUGACCUAAGGUACAUACUACAGUGUCAUCGAUUUGUAUCUGUCAUCAACUACUUACUUCUUACGUUUGUAUGUCAUCAACUAUACUACUUAUUAAAAGGGAGAAAGAGAGGAUACGUUAGAGCUAGAUGAAAAAAUAGCCCUGUAAAAGAGAGGAUUCUGCUUUCUAUGUGAGUAUCUUGGUGCAUGCUUUUUCUGAAUAAAAUGUAGAGGUCAUGAAUGAAUUAAACCAUGCUACUCUGAAAUCAGAGAGCAGGCAAGGGUAUGUUUAUUUUCAGUUAAAGUAGUAUUAGUUGUAUACAUCCCAUUUGAAAAAAUAGUAUGUAUAUGCUCCUUGCAAACUACUACGUAUUAUGUGUUAAAAAAAACUACUACGUAUUAUUUAAACGUUUUACAUAAGACUGUUCGUCCAGAUACAAUAACUAAUUAGUAUUUUAAUAACUUGAGUUGCAUGGCUUGAUCGCUCUGCUUGGGUCUUCUCUUAUGUAUGAGUGCACCAUAUGUGAGUUAAAUAAGUCUUCUAACUGUCUGGGCUAAUUUGCCUUUUGUUUUGAUUUGAGCUGAUGGGGAUGAGAUGUGACCCCGCUGCUGGGCGUCGCAAAUGCCACUGCUCCAAUGUGUGCCCCAGCUUUGGUGAUGCAUGGGCGAGGCUACUCGAUUUGGGGCCCUCCUUACAAGAAAUCACGUUUUUUCGUUCAGAUUUUAGAGCUCUUGAGUUUCAGCUUAGUUCAAGGAUAGAAAAGCAUACUCCUUAUGGAUUCAAUGAGGAAGACCAUUAGCCGCUACCUUUUCAGAAUUGGAUGGUGUGAUGGACCUUCAUCUUACUGUCCAAUUUCUUAGCUUAUUCGCUUUAACUGUACUACAGUUAUAUAGCAGGAUAAAGAUCUAAUCCUGUGACGCCUCUGCAAUUGCACCAUCGUCAAAAGUUGCACAUGAGUUGAUUCAGACUUUCAGAGUUCAUAGAAAAUCUAGCAGAGUUCAUUGGCCUGAAAGCAUAUCAGAUCCUAAGGAAAGGGGGCCCGGUUCAGAUUUCUCGCUACUCUGUGCUGUUGGAUAGCCAUGUGCACUAUCUAUCUAUCAAAGUUUUCAAAGAAAUUGAUGGCGGCGGCUCAGCAACAUCAUGGCGAAUGGCAAAGCUUCUAAAAUGGACGGGAGAGAGGUGGUGACGCACGGCUGGGAGACGUACAGAUUUGAGGAAAUAUGACUCAUGAGGUUUCAUAUUAAAAAAAUGAUAGCCUUUGUAAGAAAAGAUAUGACGUACAUUUGUGCAAAUUGAUAAUGACAUGCAUGCUAUUUCUGAAAAAAGAAGCUUCUCUGUUGGCAUCCCUGAUGGUACCUUUAGAUAUGCAGGAAGAGAAAUGGUGUCUCAUAAUUCAUUGGAUGUGACCAGUAGGUCAUAUCAUCAUGUUUUGCUAUUGAUGUAAUGCUACAUUCCUUGACUGAAAUGAAACCCUUUAGUUGCUA